AAAAGAAAAUAGUCAUGCUGCAAGCGCAAAUUUAUUAUGGCUGUGUAUGUUCAAUAUAGGGUGGUUGCGACAGGGCUUGGCUGUGAAGGCCUGAAGUUCCUCGUAGAAGCGCUGAAAGAAAAUCGUACUGUGACUGAUCUCAGAAUGGCCAUUAAUAAAAUUGGAGAUGUUGGAGCUGGUUAUCUUGCGGAAUUGUUGAGGACGAAUCGCACACUGACGGAUAUCAGACUUCGUGACAACCUAGUGACAGACAAAGGAGCAGAAGUCCUCAUGGCUGCCCUGAAAGAGAACACUACAUUAGAGUAUCUGUGGUUGUUUGACAACAAAUUUACCAAAGAUGGCGUCAAGAAACUGAAAGAAUUUGCAAAGACCAGACCAAACCUUGACAUUAAAGUUUGCAUCUGACCCACAACCAACAAACCAGUGGAGUAGAUCCCUAAAACAUCAUUUGCAUUGCCGAGCUGGUUCAUGACAAACAUUUUAUUCAUACGUUAUUUUACAUAUUGGUACAAUUGCUCUGAUAUAAUACUUUUAAUACAUAUUAGACUGUUAAAUGAAUAGCUCACCCAAAAAUGAAAAAUUGCUGAAAAUGUACUAAACCCUCAGGCUAUCCAAGAUGUAGAUGAGUUUGUUUCUUCAUUGGAACACAGAUUUGGAGAAAUUUAGCAUUAAAUCACUUGCUCACCAAUGGAUCCUCUGCAGUGAAUGGGUGGCAUCAGGUUGAGAGCCCAUCUUAUAAAAAUAUCACAAUAAUCCACAAGUAAUCCACUCGACUCCAUCAAUUAACAUCUUGUGAAACAAAAAGCAGCAUGCUUGUAAAAAGCAAAUCCAUCAUUACGGUGUGUUUUCACUAUGAACUACUAUUCCUUUAACCACUCAGGUUACUGCCUUCUGCUGGACUUUUAAGGAACUGUCAUUUGUAUGCUACAUUUGUACAUUAAUCAAUAUUUUCAGAACUGUCUUAGGAUUCAUAGACAGUUCUUUCUAAAGACAUUGAAUUGCAUUUAUUUAUUUUGUGAAAGAACUGCUAUCUUUUUAUUAUAGAAUCUUUACAGCUUUAUCUUAAACCCACACAAUCAGGUUUGACUGAAGCUGAAUGCUACAUUUUGGGGGCCCUAAAAUGGCUUCUUAACACACAUCUGUUCUUCUCCUACUUCUUUAUAAAUUAUUGUCUUCGUUCUCUUUUCUGCAAUAUAGUGUCUCAGACCAGUUUGACAAUAAUAAAUGUGCCACAGUCACUGGUUUAUUGCCCAUUUUUGUGGGUGAUUUUACAUGCAGAGCUCAGGGCUGCUCUUAGAAGCUUCAUAAACAGAAGUAAAAAUGUAAGUGUAAAAUACACAAAACCAGAGUAUUCUUUGGUGAGUAAAUGCAUUUAUUUUAAAGAUACCAUGUGAAACCAUUGCUAAAAUCACAGUAGUGUAUAUUAGAAGCAUUUUAAUCAUACAUACUGAUUGAUAGAUAUACAGAUAGAUGGAUAGAUAGAUAGGUAGAUCUGUGUCAGACUAUUUCUUUUUGAAGCAUUACAUACCUGUCUUUCUGAAAGUUGCAUAAUAUAGGUUCAUACAUGUUUAUAUAAUUGUCAUAACAUCAUGAAGUAUGAAUUGUUAUAACAAGUAUUAUUGCUUAGCAGUGCUUACAA
rnacentral:lncRNA from 1 species